CAAUAGCGUAUAUUUAAGUUGCUGCAGUUAAAAAGCUCGUAGUUGGAUUUCGGGUGGGAAUGGCCGGUCCGCCGUUUCGGUGUGCACUUGCUACGCCACCUUGCUGCCGGGGACGUGCUCUUGAGUUCACGCUCGGGACACGGAGUCGGCGAGGUUACUUUGAGUAAAUUAGAGUGUUCAAAGCAGGCCUACGCUCUGAAUACAUUAGCAUGGAAUAACACGAUAGGACUCUGGCCUAUCUUGUUGGUCUGUAGGACCGGAGUAAUGAUUAAGAGGGACAGUCGGGGGCAUUCGUAUUUCAUUGUCAGAGGUGAAAUUCUUGGAUUUAUGAAAGACGAACUACUGCGAAAGCAUUUGCCAAGGAUGUUUUCAUUAA
rnacentral:rRNA from 1 species